rnacentral:ncRNA from 1 species
CUGACUGCGUAUGGGGCUCUCCAUUUUUAAGUUCCAUACAGCUUUAAUAAGGAGGAAGUAUUCAUCCCCGGGCUCGGGGUGCGGCAGUGUGGAGACCUGUCGUAAUGCAGACUGUCCCCUGCGGGCAGCUGUGAGCCUGUCGAUGCGGAUGCAGGGCAGGCGGAGCCGGAAGCAUGGCA